AAAUGAAUAGACGGGGACCCGCACAAGCGGUGGAGCAUGUGGUUUAAUUCGAAGCAACGCGAAGAACCUUACCAAGUCUUGACAUCCCUCUGACCGGUCCGUAAUGGGGCCUUCCCUUCGGGGCAGAGGAGACAGGUGGUGCAUGGUUGUCGUCAGCUCGUGUCGUGAGAUGUUGGGUUAAGUCCCGCAACGAGCGCAACCCUUAUCCUUAGUAGCCAGCAAGUUAAGUUGGGCACUCUAGGGAGACUGCCGGGGAUAACCUGGAGGAAGGUGGGGAUGACGUCAAAUCAUCAUGCCCCUUAUGAUUUGGGCUACACACGUGCUACAAUGGCGUAAACAAAGAGAAGCAACAGCGCGAGCUCAAGCAAAUCUCAAAAAUAACGUCCCAGUUCGGAUUGUAGUCUGCAACUCGACUACAUGAAGCUGGAAUCGCUAGUAAUCGCGAAUCAGAAUGUCGCGGUGAAUACGUUCCCGGGUCUUGUACACACCGCCCGU
rnacentral:rRNA from 1 species